UACGGGGGGGGCAAGCGUUGUUCGGAAUUAUUGGGCGUAAAGGGCUCGUAGGCGGUUUGUCGCGUCGGGAGUGAAAACUCAGGGCUUAACCCUGAGCCUGCUUCCGAUACGGGCAGACUAGAGGUAUGCAGGGGAGAACGGAAUUCCUGGUGUAGCGGUGAAAUGCGCAGAUAUCCGGAGGAAUACCAAAGGCGAAGGCAGUGUCCUGGAGGGUGACUGACGCUGAGGCGCGAAAGCUAGGGGAGCGAACAGG
rnacentral:rRNA from 1 species